AUGUUCUCUGCAGGGUUACUGUAGUGAGUUCACCGAACCUCCCGAAAUGUGCACCAUGGAAUACAAGCCCGUCUGUGGCACUGAUGGCAAGACAUACAGCAAUAAAUGCGUCUUUUGUGCUGCUGUCUUUAAACAGCUUGGAAGUCUUUGCUUUGAGCACGAUGGAGAAUGCCAGCCAUGUGACAAAACUGGGCACAAGGUUGAGGAACUGUAGGCGCUAGUUCUCACUAGGGGAGCCAUGUUGUCAUCUCAGCCUCCAUUCCCAGGGCUCCUGACAGCAUCGCUGACUCCCCACCUGUCUCUGCAAUAAAGGAAACUCAGAGCCA